AGUCUGUCAAAAGAGGUAAGAUUGUGUGUGUGUGUGUGUGUGUAUCUUUCUCUGGGAUUACAGCAAUGAAACUCUCAAAGGAAAAUAAUAAUCAAAUUACUAUUACCACUGUCAUAUUCUAUUAAAAUGAUACCUUCUUUGUACUCAUACCAGUAUAGAUAAUAAGCAUUAUUCUAGAAGUUAACGUUCUUCCUUUCCUCUUUCUCUUUUGCCAUUUAUUCCCUUUAUCAGAGUUCCUUAGUUCUAAGAAAUCAAAACCAAGCUUCAUCUAAAGAUAAAACAGAGUUUACUAGAAAGAAAGACAAGACUCACAGCAUCAACCAGAGAUUUUAAAACAAGGAUUAGAAAAUAUUAAGGAACCACAGGACACGCAAAAGUUGUGUUUCAGGAAUAUUUUGGCCAGCUACUACUGCCGCAAAACUCAAAAGAUAACCAUGCCUGCUACUGCUGCCUAUGUGAAUGCCAUUGGAUCCUUCCUCUUUGUGUCAUCUGCUCAAGAUAAAGUCCUUGGUGAGAGAAUCUGAUGAGCCAAACCUAGCUCAUGUGCACUUGACCCAGCACGCAGGCAACGUGGAGAAGGGCACAACUUCAGAAGCUGACCAAGGGGAAUAUGGAACGAAGAAAGCCACUUACAUCUUGAAAGUUUUUUCCUGGGGAAAGGAAGAACAUUGCAAGAAAGAAAGGUUGCUUCCUGGUUGCCAUUUUUUCAUCGGUGUUUUUUCUGGAGGAAAAAAUGACUCUUGGCAAAGGAGGCAAGACACCUGCAAAGUAGUCAGCGUUUCCUCCUAUAGGCAUAGAGGUCUGAGUAAUGUGUUCAAUAGAAUCGGAAGAAGAUGACAGACAGACAGCAAAUGAUCAACAUUUCAUAAAAAU
rnacentral:lncRNA from 13 species